ACGAGUUUAGUUUCUACAAAGUAUUUUUAACAAGUUCCAGUUUUGCAUAAGUAUACCAUUAAUAGCUCAUCAAUGCAUUUUGCAGCAAUGUAUUCAUAUAUACGGUGCAUUUAACAAAACCGUAAUCGAAUACUUUGUACAGUUUGUAGCAGGGUUGCCAGAUUUUUGCCGGGUGUCGAUGAAAGGAUAAUUUACACUGGUGUAAGAAUUGACCAAUCACAGUUGGAAAUAAGGGGAAAAUAAUCGAUUAUUGAUCAAUUUUUACAAUUACGGCAUAAGUUAACAUUACAAAUUACGGCCUAUAUAAAUGAUUCUUAAGCCUUUAUCGCCUAAAAGUCGCCCAACUGGAACAUGCUUUCUAAAAAAAAAAAAGUAGGAAACAAUUAUACUCAUAUAUUCAUAAUUACACUCGAUUUAUCCUUGUUGUCCCAAUGUUAAACAAGGAUAAAAUGAUAUAAGGGCACGUUUCUGAACGCAACCUUGCCACAGACUUCUAUUAUAAAGGCCUGCGCAUACAUCAAAUAUUGGAAACAGGAGUAAAUAUUAAGAUUUCAACCUAUCAGAUACCAAUUACACCGGAAUACGGUUCCUGAUAGAUUGAAAUCUUAAUAUUUAUUCUUAUUCCUAAUAUUUUCUCCAUUGUGCGUAGGGCUAACAACCCUAGACCACUGACUCGUCCCUUUAACACAGGGUCUACAAUAGAAUAUUGUCGUAGGAAAAUCGUACUUAAAUCGUAGAAAAUUAAUCAAUUACAGUCAAAUAUGAAAAUAAUAAUCAAUUAUGAUUGAUCAAUUUUCUAUGACUUAAGACUUUAUGACUGUCACGAUUUUUAUUGUAGAUAAACUGUUGUAAAUAAACUCGACUUAAAGCCCUAAACACAAUGUGAAAGCAACAGCGAUAGCGAUAGGAACAGAGAAAUCCAACAUAUGCAUUUCUGUAUGUUAGAUUCUUCUAUUGCUAUCGCUAUUACUAUCGCUAUUUCUAUCGCUAUUGCUGUUGCCUUCGCAUUGUGUUUAGAGCUACUGUUGCCAAAAUAUACGUAUUAUGUGCGCAGAAUAAGUACAUUUGCAUAUUGCGCAUACUUUCUGUAUACUUUUGAACCAAUCACAGAAACGCUAGAUCACCUGACCUGUUGGCAUUUCUUUCUGUGUGUGAUCUUAUAGCAUUUUUCGUUGGCAAAAGCAUUCUAGUGCGUACUUAGUGCACAUUAAAGCUAUUACACUAUUCAAAUCUAAAUGUACAAUAUAAUUCAAUUCUGUAUUUCUAUUAAACGUACAUCUUUAUGUCGAUUUGUGUACAAUGGCUUUAAAGUGCACUGAAUGCGCACUAGUUCUGCUAAUGCACUCUAAACGCUAUCAUUGUACUCAUCUACUGUGUGCAGGCAACACUUUUAAGGAAAAGUGGGAAGUUAGCAGUUUAGUGUAAUAAUGUAAGUCUAUGAACCUUGCACUGUUAUCCAGGGUUACCAGAUUUUAGGCAACUUUUGCAUUGCAUGACGCUGCAUUGACAUCUGUAUCGCCAGUGUAACACUAAAAUAACCCAAAGUAUCCCAAAACUAUUUAUAUCAGGCUGUAUUGGGCUAUAUUAUAUUAGCCUGUUACGCACAUAAAAUUUGAAUAUUGCAAA